rnacentral:rRNA from 1 species
ACGAACGCUGGCGGCGUGCUUCACACAUGCAAGUCGAACGGAAAGGCCCUGCUUUUGUGGGGUGCUCGAGUGGCGAACGGGUGAGUAACACGUGAGUAACCUGCCCUUGACUUUGGGAUAACUUCAGGAAACUGGGGCUAAUACCGGAUAGGAGCUCCUGCUGCAUGGUGGGGGUUGGAAAGUUUCGGCGGUUGGGGAUGGACUCGCGGCUUAUCAGCUUGUUGGUGGGGUAGUGGCUUACCAAGGCUUUGACGGGUAGCCGGCCUGAGAGGGUGGCCGGCAACAUGGGGACGGAGAUACGGCCCGGACUCCUGGGGGGGGCAGAAGGGGGAGUGAUUGCACAGUGGGCGGAAGCCUGAGGCAGCAACGCCGCGGGCGGGAGGACGGCCUUCGGUUUGUAAACCGCUUGCGCCGGUGACAAAGGGGGAGUGACGGUAAUGGGUAAAGAAGCACCGGCUAACUACGUG